UCUGAAGUUUGCGAUCCGAAAAGCGGUUCGUCGUGGUGGAGAGCUGUUGAAUGAAAGAAGAGAAGCCAAGCCAGCCCAACUAACAACGCAAGGGAAGAAAGAACCCAGCACUACGGCGGAAAUAGGGACACAUGUUUGGAUGGUUUGUUCAUUGGCAACCCUAUUUUACUUUCUGCUCUUCUGCAUGCAUGUCUACGAGGACAAGGAUUGCAUCAGGGUAGGUUAGCAGGCAGAGAACCAUUGUUACAGGAAAUAAUGAACCCAUGAAAGGUUGCCUUUAAAAGCAUUCAUUUCAGCCGUGGCAGUUUCCCUUUGCUGCUUCUCCAUCUCUUUUCCCGCAGCAGAAACAGAGGAUGGAAUGGAAAGUAAGUGAGGGUAGUAAGUGAGUUAGCAGGCAGAGCAAAUAGAUUGGUUUUAGUUUCGGAUGGAAAAUGGAAAUAAAUGUUCAACUACGACUGCCUGAGAACAGGCGGUAGUAAAACGAGGGUGUUCACAAUGUGUUCCAUUUCAGCGUUUCGAUACUCGUCCCCGUCAUUUCACCGUGCUUCCACCGAGUCUUACUUUUCUACAGGGAUGUACACAUACAUAGACAAAUAUAUCUCCAUGAUUGUCGUCGUACGAAGAAGUUGACCAUCAGAGGACUAAAAAAUGUGGCAUAUGUACAUACAUACGAGGGCUCAGCGCACAACCCACGCGGAAUGAACGAGGGGAAGUGGGAUCUGUUGUGGGGAAUGUUGUUCUUGAGAUUGUAAAUACUUUAUUGUAAUACUUGACUACCAGACGUUGUUGGAGUUUCAGGCUAAUUUCGUGGAUCCUUAAACCAGUUCAUAGAAUGCUUGCGAGUACAAGAGGAAAUAGGGGGGAAGCACUCACUCGACGUUACAGGAAGGAAGGGGAAUGCAAGAAGUGGGGGCUGCAGCUAGAUUUGGGAUUCGGGAAGGGUCAAGCAGAAUCAUUCGUCUAAAGAGUCAUUUCAUUUUCAUUGCAGUUGGAGAAACGGGGCUUCUACAACUUUAUGGAGUGGAGUAGUAAAAGCCAGUUUAUUGACGAGUAGCCAGGUGAAGAAAUUCCGGUCAUCUCGUCCAUACAACGACCACCACUUGACCACUACUAACACAGUGUAAUUUAUACUGUCAUUUGGCUUGUGAUCACUUAAAAGAAAAAGUUUGCUUAAUUAAAUUUGAUGCUAAAAAAACUAAACCUUAGGGGCACACAUAUUUAUGUACAUGCAUGCAUACUAAAGAUAAGUAUCUCGUAGAUAAUAAUAACUUUGCUCUGAAUUAAAUAUUGGUCUCUAAACUAAAACCGUUGUUGGUUCGGAGUCUUAGCUUAACUCAAGCUGAUUUGGGUCACACUUUGGCGUUCACUAUUCAAUAACGAUAAUUAACGUCAUCGUUUGUUCAGAUAAUUAAUCGGAAACAAUGGUUGGUUUAAUAAUGUCCAUCAUCAUUAUUAAAAAUGUAGGUGUGUUGAAACAUCCUAAAUUUUUAACGUUUAAGUCACCACAAAAAUAUAUUGUAAACAAAAUUAGACGAAAUUUCCAUCACCUGUAUGUAUACGAAUGAAAUGCUUUAAAUCCUACUGAAUAGAAAAACAAUCCCGUUUUAACUCUCACAUUACACCGCAAUAUAUCUUGAAAACAUUUAUCAUCUUUUAAUGGGCCUCUAACAGCUAGAUUUCUCCUUGGUUGAAGAGGAAAGCGAAGGACAAUAAAUAAAUCGAGUGGAAAGAUUACUUCCCAGCUCUGCUGAAGAGCAGGAUAAUUCCAAGUCAGUAAUGCAAUCGGUAGUGUAAUCUUUUCCGUGGACUUGGGUACACAUAGGUACAGGAUGUUUCAAUUGCAGGCUACCUAUUGUGUGACGAAUGCAUAUUUGAUUGGUUUCGGUGAUUAUAGGAGCCAGGUAACCUAUUUUUAAUCGGAAAGUUAUCAGAGGACCGGCCUUCAGACGUCGUCUUUGAGCAUUAUGAAAAAAAUCAUUGGACAUCUUCGUCUAAUAUAAUCCUCUACAAUACUAUGUAGCCAUGCAUAUUCUACAUAGUAGGAGAUUAGUAUCCCGGGGUAUAAUUUUUAUGUAGGGAAAGCAUUAUGCCGGGAGAACAUCGUCGUUGACCUACAACCCAGCUCAUUCUACCAAAUCCACCGACAAAAAAGCACUCCAAGUCCAACUCCAGCAUUUCCGUUCUCUUGGAUCUUCUACUCAAGUGGGAAGUAGAAAGGUAUUGAAAUAAUAAACAAGACUUCCAUCAGAAACCAAAAGAGGAAUGAAAACAAGCCGAACCGAGAGCCAAGCGAGUACAAUUUAAAUUCUGGCAAACAUGACUAAAUGAAAAUCGGAAAUUUCUCUUGUUAUGUAUGUAACGUAUUGCCAAAAAGUGGCGUGUUUUCCCAUUGGACUCGUACUACAAAAGAUUCCAGAUAGCGAGAAAGCGAGCAAAGCUUCUUUCUUUGCCACGCAGAACGAAAAAUCCAGAAUAAAUUAAUUUCAAUCUGUAAGAAUUAAA